rnacentral:rRNA from 1 species
UACGGGGGGGGGCAAGCGUUGUUCGGAAUUACUGGGCGUAAAGGGCUCGUAGGCGGCCAACUAAGUCAGACGUGAAAUCCCUCGGCUUAACCGGGGAACUGCGUCUGAUACUGGAUGGCUUGAGUUCGGGAGAGGGAUGCGGAAUUCCAGGUGUAGCGGUGAAAUGCGUAGAUAUCUGGAGGAACACCGGUGGCGAAGGCGGCAUCCUGGACCGACACUGACACUGAGGAGCGAAAGCCAGGGGAGCAAACGGG